rnacentral:rRNA from 1 species
UUACCGAGUGAGGGUCCCUCGGGGCCCAACCUCCCAUCCGUGUUGUCCUGACACCUGUUGCUUCGGCGGGCCCGCCGUGGUUCACGCCCCGGCCGCCGGGGGGUUCACGCCCCCGGGCCCGCGCCCGCCGAAGACCCCUGGAACGCUGCCUGGAAGGUUGCCGUCUGAGUAUACAAUCAAUCAAUUAAAACUUUCAACAACGGAUCUCUUGGUUCCGGCAUCGAUGAAGAACGCAGCGAAAUGCGAUAAGUAAUGUGAAUUGCAGAAUUCCGUGAAUCAUCGAAUCUUUGAACGCACAUUGCGCCCCCUGGCAUUCCGGGGGGCAUGCCUGUCCGAGCGUCAUUGCUAACCCUCCAGCCCGGCUGGUGUGUUGGGCCGCCGUCCCCCCCCCCGGGGGACGGGCCCGAAAGGCAGCGGCGGCGUCGCGUCCGGUCCUCGAGCGUAUGGGGCUUUGUCACACGCUUCAGUAGAACCGGCCGGCUUGCUGGCCACACGACCUUCACGGUCACCUAUAUUUCUCUUAGGUUGACCUCGGAUCAGGUAGGGAUACCCGCUGAACUUAAGCAUAUCAAUAAGCGGAGGAAAAGAAACCAACAGGGAUUGCCCCAGUAACGGCGAGUGAAGCGGCAAGAGCUCAAAUUUGAAAUCUGGCCCCUCCGGGGUCCGAGUUGUAAUUUGCAGAGGAUGCUUCGGGCGCGGUCCCCGUCUAAGUACCCUGGAACGGGUCGUCAUAGAGGGUGAGAAUCCCGUCUGGGACGGGUGGCCGUGUCCGUGUGAAGCUCCUUCGACGAGUCGAGUUGUUUGGGAAUGCAGCUCUAAAUGGGUGGUAAAUUUCAUCUAAAGCUAAAUAUUGGCCGGAGACCGAUAGCGCACAAGUAGAGUGAUCGAAAGAUGAAAAGCACUUUGAAAAGAGAGUUAAACAGCACGUGAAAUUGUUGAAAGGGAAGCGCUUGCGACCAGACUCGCCCGCGGGGGUUCAGCCGGUACUCGUACCGGUGUACUCCCCCGGGGGCGGGCCAGCGUCGGUUUGGGCGGUCGGUCAAAGGCCUCCGGAAUGUGUCGSCCCCCGGGGCGUCUUAUAGCCGGAGGUGCAAUGCGGCCAGCCUGGACCGA